GACGAACGCUGGCGGCGUGCCUAAUACAUGCAAGUAGGACGCAGUUGCGAACGGGUGAGUAACGCGUAGGUAACUACCUAUUAGAGGGGGAUAACUAUUGGAACCGAUAGCUAAUACCGCAUACUAGUAGAUGGACCUGCGUUGUAUUAGCUCGUAUGUAGGGUAAUGGCCUACCUAGGCAACGAUUAAGAGCCGACUUGGGAGGGUGAACGACCCACAGUGGAAUGGGACACGGCCCAGACUCCCUCGGGAGGCAGCAGGAGGGAAUUUUCGGCAAAUGGGGGAACCCUGACCGAGCAACGCCGCGUUGGUGAAGAAGGGUUUCGGAUCUUAAAGCUCUGUUGUUAAGGAAGCGGUACUUAACCAGAAAGGGACGGCUAACUACGUGCCAGCAGCCGCGGUAAUUC
rnacentral:rRNA from 1 species